rnacentral:rRNA from 1 species
AUGCAAGUAGAACGCUGAAGGAGGAGCUUGCUCUCUCUGGAUGAGUUGCGAACGGGUGAGUAACGCGUAGGUAACCUGCCUGGUAGCGGGGGAUAACUAUUGGAAACGAUAGCUAAUACCGCAUAACAGUAGAUGUUGCAUGACAUUUGCUUAAAAGGUGCAAUUGCAUCACUACCAGAUGGACCUGCGUUGUAUUAGCUAGUUGGUGGGGUAACGGCUCACCAAGGCGACGAUACAUAGCCGACCUGAGAGGGUGAUCGGCCACACUGGGACUGAGACACGGCCCAAACUCCUACGGGAGGCAGCAGUAGGGAAUCUUCGGCAAUGGACGGAAGUCUGACCGAGCAACGCCGCGUGAGUGAAGAAGGUUUUCGGAUCGUAAAGCUCUGUUGUAAGAGAAGAACGAGUGUGAGAGUGGAAAGUUCACACUGUGACGGUAUCUUACCAGAAAGGGACGGCUAACUACGUGCCAGCAGCCGCGGUAAUACGUAGGUCCCGAGCGUUGUCCGGAUUUAUUGGGCGUAAAGCGAGCGCAGGCGGUUAGAUAAGUCUGAAGUUAAAGGCUGUGGCUUAACCAUAGUACGCUUUGGAAACUGUUUAACUUGAGCGCAAGAGGGGAGAGUGGAAUUCCAUGUGUAGCGGUGAAAUGCGUAGAUAUAUGGAGGAACACCGGUGGCGAAAGCGGCUCUCUGGCUUGUAACUGACGCUGAGGCUCGAAAGCGUGGGGAGCAAACAGGAUUAGAUACCCUGGUAGUCCACGCCGUAAACGAUGAGUGCUAGGUGUUAGACCCUUUCCGGGGUUUAGUGCCGUAGCUAACGCAUUAAGCACUCCGCCUGGGGAGUACGACCGCAAGGUUGAAACUCAAAGGAAUUGACGGGGGCCCGCACAAGCGG